GCAGGUUUAGCUCAAUUGGUAGAGCACAUGAUUAGCAUGCACAAGGUCCUGGGUUCAAUCCCCAGCACUUCCA
rnacentral:tRNA from 1 species